rnacentral:lncRNA from 1 species
CGCUUACAUACUGAAUUGGACAAAGAAAAUGCAGCAUUGAAACAGAGUUACUGUGAAUACAGAAGACUGUCUAUCCCACAGCAGGCAAUGCAAUUAAAGACUUCAGAGAAUGCCAGAUUUUUCAGAAUGCAUCAUAGAAUUUUCAAAGCUGUAAGAAAGAGGUGAGGAUGCUGAGAUGUAGAGAGACUGAUUUGCUCAAGAUAACAAAGAGUUUUAUUGAUUUGGGAACCCAUGGAAGGGGGUCAGCUGUGAGAUAUCACAUGAUCAGACUGACUGCCUGACCAGACUGACUGCCAUCCUGUUAAAGGUGAAUGAAUCACAGUUCAUCUCGCAGAUUUAUGGCAUGCCUACAGAAAAAGUACCUUAUGAUGCAAACCUGAAAGUUUAAAUAAUCUCCUGAAAGUUCCACAAUCAGCUCUCACCCCUGCAGUACGCUUCUUUCCGUUGGGUUUCCUCCGCCUGUAAGUCACCUUUCUUGAAGGGGUAUCUUCAAGAAGACCCAAGCCUGCCUAGCUUUCCUGGUGUCCUCCUGGCCAUAGGAAACUCUCCUGUUUUUGUCUCACUGCACCGUUACCUCUUCUUUUCCAUACCAUUCUACUCCAGCCAGGUUCCAGCUUUCAUCAUUCUCCAGAGAAGACAUCUCCAUUUUCACAUAAGCUCCCCAACUCUCAAGAAGACAUGUCAAACUUCAAAGAACUUUUUUUACUAUGUGCUCCCAUGCUCUGAUGGCAACAUCUAAAUAGGUUUACAAGUUUCUGAAGUUCAGCAUGUGAAGGGGUCAAUGGGGGAACUGAGAUGCAGAUCCCCUUUUCUUGAGGACACCUCUAAUUUGGUUUCACAGAGCUGGGAGAUGGUGCUCCCUCCUCUCCUCCACAAAGAGAAAAGCCACGGCACACUUCCUCACUGCGGCCCCCUCUAAAAUCUUUCUCUAUUCAACUAACGUUCUUUUGAGUUAUUUUCCUUUAUGUGAUCUGGUUGCCAUACAGAGGAUGAAGCCCUCUUUUAUAAUAUAAACCCUGAAGGGCAUGUAUGGCAGGUUCUUAAUGUUCUCUUUGGAAUUUGAUGCUACAUAGCUUCUAAUAUACUGAAUUUUGGGACUCUAAACAACAUUCUAAAACAAUAGGAAAAGUCUUUCCAAUAUCAUGAUGUGAUCAUCAUUGCUGUUUC